ACACUCUCCCGCUCGGCUCCAACUUGCAGGCAUCCAUGGCCGGCCGUCCUCCGAGGGCGGCGGGACAAGCGAGGGCGGCGGGUCGAGUGGCGCGGGCUCAGUUUACACCUGUCGCUCCCUCCGUGGAGCCCACUCUGCCCUUCGGACCAGGCAAUGGUGAGCCAUUGAAGGUUUCUGAACAGAGAAGUGCUUAUUGGGAGCUGUCGGAGCUGUGCUUCCAGGAGAUGAAUCUGGCAAUAACAUGGAGAUCCCUGCAGAGCCUCCCUAUUGCCACGGUUGCCACUGCUCUUCAAGACGAUAGAUCAGCUGAAGGCAGCUGCCCCCACCCCCCGGUCCAAUGAUCUACUAUGUCAAAGUGGUACCCCAGUGGCUAACAGGAAGAAGGGAUUCCAGAAGGAAAAUUAGCCAGCACCCCAUUUCUGGUCAGAAGGCCCUCAGCACGUUCCUGUGAAUAAUCAUAUCCCAAAUCCUAAGGAAUUCUGGAUGGACUUGCAGGUGCAUUCUUGGUUUGCGGCGGGAGUGCCUAAAACUCAACUGGAACUGAGAAGAGGGUUUUGGUGAGGAUCCGUGUGGCCCAGGGAGCUUAGACAGAGAGAUGGGACGGGGCUGGGUGGAGCUCUAGCCUGGAGCACAUCUAUUGCAGAAAGAGGUGACAGGGAAAAGACUUAGAGAAAAAAAGACCCUCAACCUCCCACCCGUACUCUCUCUCCUUCGAUGGUGCCUUUAGAUCCAGGGUGGAGGGGGCACUGUGGCCACGAUAAUUAUCAGGAUGGACUACUUGUUGAGAGGAACCUGAUAUUUUUUGAGAGCCAUACGGAAGCCCCCAGAAUGGAACUUAUUGUAAGGGAGGACCAGUGCUCUUGAGUCAGCCCAAGCCCUGCUGAGAAAGUGCCUGGUAGACAUGCUGGAAGUGGAGGUGAAGCCAAGCACCCUUCUCCAGGGCGCUGAUCUUUUUAGGAUCUGAUGAAAGCUGUGUCCCUCUGCCCUGCAAACGGCACACAUGCACAAGGUCAGUGUUUACAUGGCAACCUGCAGGAGCCCAGCUGCGGCCCUGAGUUAGCAGUCCCUGCUGAGAAAGGGUAUUUCAGGCAGGAGGCAACCCUGAACCCAAAGUCCCUGUGAUCCAGGCUAAUGAGGGGUGUUCGUGACAUGAAGGAUCCAGAAUGAGACACAUCUGAAGCAGAGUUCUGAAACGUAAAGUGAAAAAAAAGAACAAGCCUGAUACACACUUCAUUGCAGGUCAGGUCUGUGAAAAAUCCCCACCUAGAAAGAGAAAAAUUCAGAGGCAACAUAGAGAAAGGAAAACAAUUUGUGGGUAAAGGGUUUUUAUUUUGAAAUUUUGCUUUGAUAUCAUGAAGUUACUUUAAUGAUACGAUUUAAUGAUUUAACUUUUUCUAUAUUAUGUAAAGUGCUUUUCUUCCAAAAAAUAAGCCUAUGAAUUGAAUUUGAUUUAGGUUAAUAUCAAUGCCCUGUGUGCUUUGAGCACAUGCUUCUGGGGAAAGAUGCUCCAGGAUGGAGCCAGGUGGCCUGGAGAGGACGUCCAAAGGGUGGGUCACUGACUUUUGAGGAUCCUCAGGAGGCAGUCGAGCAGGUGGCGGGCAUGUGGUUGGAGUCCAGAGUCCUAGCUUUGUGUCCUGGGCAAGAAGGGUGACCAGUUGUCCCAUUUUGCCUGGGCCUGAGCAAGGGUUCCUGGGACAUGGAUCUUUCUGUCUUAAAACCAGGAGAACGUUCUGGGCAAGCCAGAGGGAGCUAGUUAAUCCUAUGUAUAUAUUAACCUCUCUCUGCUUCAGUUUCCUCAUUUGUAAAAGGAUGCUGCUGACUUUCAGAACCUUUGUAAAAGCACUCUGGGGACUCCACCAUCUUCACGCCGGAUGAGGAUGAUGGUUAUUACUGGUGGUGUGGAACUGGGGCCAGGAGUGGGGGAACCUUGAGAUCAAAGAGACCAGGGGCCUCUUCGAAGCACCCUGUGAUGUAUAUUAGAGAGCUUGAGCCAGCCACUCUCUCUCAAGAGACUUGUAACGACAAUUCAUUCAACAAAUAUUGAUGCACCACCUAUGACCAAGUACCAUGCUAGGCAUUGGAAUAAAGCCAUGUACUACUG
rnacentral:lncRNA from 1 species